AUUGAACGCUGGCGGCAUGCCUUACACAUGCAAGUCGAACGGCAGCACGGGAGCAAUCCUGGUGGCGAGUGGCGAACGGGUGAGUAAUAUAUCGGAACGUGCCCAGUCGUGGGGGAUAUCGCAGCGAAAGCUGUGCUAAUACCGCAUACGAUCUAUGGAUGAAAGCGGGGGAUCGCAAGACCUCGCGCGAUUGGAGCGGCCGAUAUCAGAUUAGCUAGUUGGUGAGGUAAAGGCUCACUAAGGCGACGAUCUGUAGCUGGUCUGAGAGGACGACCAGCCACACUGGAACUGAGACACGGUCCAGACUCCUACGGGAGGCAGCAGUGGGGAAUUUUGGACAAUGGGCGAAAGCCUGAUCCAGCAAUGCCGCGUGCAGGAUGAAGGCCUUCGGGUUGUAAACUGCUUUUGUACGGAACGAAACGGUGAGCUCUAAUACAGUUUGCUAAUGACGGUACCGUAAGAAUAAGCACCGGCUAACUCCGUGCCAGCAGCCGCCGUAA
rnacentral:rRNA from 1 species